rnacentral:rRNA from 1 species
UGGGGAAUAUUGGACAAUGGGCGAAAGCCUGAUCCAGCCAUGCCGCGUGUGUGAAGAAGGUCUUCGGAUUGUAAAGCACUUUAAGUUGGGAGGAAGGGCAGUAAGCGAAUACCUUGCUGUUUUGACGUUACCGACAGAAUAAGCACCGGCUAACUCUGUGCCAGCAGCCGCGGUAAUACAGAGGGUGCAAGCGUUUAUCGGAAUUACUGGGCGUAAAGCGCGCGUAGGUGGUUCGUUAAGUUGAAUGUGAAAGCCACGGGCUCAACCUGGGAACUGCAUCCAAAACUGGCGAGCUAGAGUAGGGCAGAGGGUGGUGGAAUUUCCUGUGUAGCGGUGAAAUGCGUAGAUAUAGGAAGGAGCACCAGUGGCGAAGGCGACCACCUGGGCUCAUACUGACACUGAGGUGCGAAAGCGUGGGGAGCAAACAGG